AAAAUGAUUUGGAUUUUCUCAUUUUUUCAAAGAAUACUUACUGAUGUGUUACAGAAGCUAAAAGGGAAAACCAAAUUGAUGAUAAUCAAUUCCUAUGGACAUAUCAAAGCAGGUAGAGUAGAAGGCAUCCUGGAAGAGCUACUAUCUGAGAGGAAACCUGUGUUGAAUAUCUGAAAGCUCUAUUACCGUUUAUCUUAGUUUGGCAUGUGAUCAGAGAUUUUGAUAUUUCUGGAUUGAACUGGGCAUGACUGAUGAUGAGGAAACUGACUCCUAGAGGGACUGACUAGACCAAGGUCACACCACUAACAGAAAAUCGAGGUUAAAGCAUGAUUAACACAUGUUUUGAGAAAUGAGGAUGAUGAAUAUCAGACCACUGACAAGCUGUGUUCUAACAGCAAAAUGAAGAGAAAAAAAUAUAUUCUAUAACUUGAUUUACCAAAGACGAAAAAAAAAAACACAAAACAGGCUUGAUGGAUUUACUUCUUCCCUGAAUAGAUCGGUUGUCUUUAUGUCAUGCAGAGAGAGCCGAAGCAGGACUUCAGUCAAAUGACAUCACAAUUUUAUGCAGCUAGGUGGCUGUUUUCCAAAGAACAGCAGAAUAUUUGUUGGUCAGCCUCCUGUGUCUCAGCAUUAUAUUCCUCAAAAGUUGAAUUAUUGAUGGACAUCUGCUCUGUGUGGCGCAUGGCAGUGGGAUGUAUUGGGAAGAAUCUGGAUUUUGGAAUCAUACUGUGUUCAAAUCAGAGACUCAGCUGUUGCAAAAAUAAAAAUGCAUGUGCAAAC
rnacentral:lncRNA from 1 species